rnacentral:rRNA from 1 species
CCAGCAGCCGCGGUAAAACGUAGGAGGCUAGCGUUAUCCGGAUUUACUGGGCGUAAAGCGCAUGCAGGCGGCACAGCAAGUUGGGCGUGAAAUCUCUCGGCUUAACCGGGAGGGGACGUUCAAAACUGUUGAGCUUGGGUGCAGGAGAGGGAAGCGGAAUUUCCAGUGUAGCGGUAAUAUGCGCAGAUAUUGGAAAGAACACCAGUGGCGAAGGCGGCUUCCUGGCCUGUAACCGACGCUAAGAUGCGAAAGCUAGGGGAGCGAACGGGAUUAGAUACCCCGGUAGUCCUAGCUGUAAACGAUGGAUACUAGGUGUGAGUGGUAUUGACCCCACUCGUGCCGAAGCCAACGCGUUAAGUAUCCCGCCUGGGGAGUACGACCGCAAGGUUAAAACUCAAAGGAAUUGACGGGGGCCCGCACAAGU